rnacentral:misc_RNA from 1 species
CUCUGCUUCUACAAUCCAGUCAUUUAGUAAGCGUUCUAGUAACACACCAUCCAGGGAAAUCGAACUGCUGGACCUUUUCUUUAAUUGGCAUUCCCUAAGUCGCAAGUUGUAGUGAACAAACACAAGGUCUUCAAAUCUUUUCUGAGCAAAACGAUUUUGCCUCUGGCUAUGGAUCUGAUCAUAUAUGCUCCAGGAAUGUUCACACCCAAAAGAGGAGCAAGUCUGACUUAGUACGCGCACAGCUAUUCGUUGCAGCUCUAAGCAGCUUAUCCCAUGUUGUUGCCACCAUGCAGCUGGGUCAAGCUCUGUUCUUGUGCUAAUUGCCAAUUCAGUUCCAAAAUCGCCUUUUGCAGAAUUAUAAUCAGAAAUUUGCUUGGACGCAGAAAUCUUUCUCAUGUUAUCUGGCUCCAGCCGAUGGAUGCAUUCAUUUAGUCCACGUAUCACCUCUGACUGCGCCAGAAAAUCAGAUCGAUAUCUGUAUGAUGGAUUCAAGAAGUAAGCAGCCAUGUAUAAAGGGUGGUGCAACCACGAGUUCCAGUGAUUCUCCAGCACACUCCAGAAAGGUCCAUAUUUACGUGCAUCAUCUCCAUGAAUGGAUUUGAUUGUAAACUUAGCCCUGCACAUGUCACUAUAUAUAUAUGGCAUUGAAGGAUUUUCACCACUAUCAACCUUUUGAAGCACUUGCAUUACUGGAUCUACCGAUUUGCUAACAUACAGCACCUUCUUCCAAAAUGUAGCAGUUGCUACAAUCUUUUC